GGUCUGGUGGUCUAGCGGUUAAGGAUCCUUCGCUCUAGCUGCAGUGGCCCGGGCUCGAUUCCCUGCUAGGGAACCG